rnacentral:rRNA from 1 species
GACGAACGCUGGCGGUGUGCCUCACACAUGCAAGUCGAACGGGGUGGCAAUACCCAGUGGCGGACGGGUGAGUAACGCGUGGGAAUCUGCCUUUAGAUGGGGGAUAGCAAACCGAAAGGUUUAUUAAUACCGCAUAUGUAUGUAUCUCGACAGAGGUAUUUAUGAAAGGAGCAAUCCGUCUGAAGAUGAGCCCGCGCCCGAUUAGCUAGUUGGUAAGGUAAAGGCUUACCAAGGCGACGAUCGGUAGGUGGUCUGAGAGGAUGAUCACCCACACUGG